GACGUAGGGCGCGAGCGUUGUCCGGAUUUAUUGGGCGUAAAGAGCUCGUAGGCGGCUUGUCGCGUCGACUGUGAAAACCCGCGGCUCAACUGUGGGCUUGCAGUCGAUACGGGAAGGCUGGAGUUCGGUAGGGGAGACUGGAAUUCCUGGUGUAGCGGUGAAAUGCGCAGAUAUCAGGAGGAACACCGGUGGCGAAAGCGGCUCACUGGACCUGAUCUGACACUGAGGUGCGAAAGCUAGGGUAGCAAACGGG
rnacentral:rRNA from 1 species